GAAAGAACAGAAGUAGGGUCAUAAUUUAGUGCACUAUAUAUACACACAGACGUACCCAUAUAAAUACACACACACUCACUCACAUACUCACACACUUAAUAUCAACCGCUGGCUCCAGACACUGACGGCAUCCACAUCUGGGUAGAACUGGCUCAACAUCAGCAGCAUCCAGCGAACUUGAACUCAGAGAGGAAGCGAGCAGCCCACUUCCUAUCGUCAUGGUAACAGCAUGUGAAUGCAUUGGGCCAUAUUGGUAAGCUAGCAAAAGAGAGAGAGAGCAAGCGAGGGAGAGCGGGAGUGUGAGAGAGAGAGAGAGAGAGAGAAAGAGAGAGGGCAAGCAAGUGGGAACUGCAUCAGAAAACACAGCUCAGUCUCCAGAGCCAUCUGAAAGGUUGUGAACGCAUAUCUCACAAUGCACCAAGGAAAGCUUGUCAAGGAACUGAUGGAUUCCUUCUACAUUUCAUGAAUAAACAGUCUUAAAACCAUUUCUAGCUUGGCCUCUUUGGGAAACAUGGAUCACACAGCCCUAUUUUGCCCAUCCCAGACAUGGACGGGCCCCAAUGUUUCAACCUUCUCCUCUGAGUGGGAUGACUCUGUGAAUUCCUACCUUUUGGCACCUGAUGUGAUCAAGCCUCCCCCACAGUUCCAAGAUCCAGAAGAACCGUGCCAGUCCCCACCAGCCAGCUCCACCGUCAUUAGAAGGAAGGAUAAAGAACGCCGGAGCAGACCUGCCAGUGCCAUGGAGCCCCAUAGACGAUCACUGUCCCUUUCCACAGCCAUUACCUCCAACCCAGCUGUAACUCGCAGGAGAUGUGAAAGCUAUGCCUUGUCUUAUCCUAGCAGCAGCUCGGAGGACAGCGGCAGUGAUAGCACGUCUGUGAGGAAAGGGGACCAACUGCCUGAUGCGGUGCCUCAGUCCAAGGCCAGGAGUAUCAUUCUGCGAAAGGCUAAACGGAAACCAGCACCACCUGUACGGACAGUCUCACUGCAAAGGCUGACAGACUUGAAGCCUACAGAGCGCAGAACACAGAGCCUGUACAUCCCCAACGACAGCCAAAAUGCCAUGCUCCUUCCAGACCUUAUUCCCGUACAUAAAGCAGAGGCUGGUCAUUCAGAGCAGACCACCUAUUCUUCUGAAGCACCAGUAAGUGGAAAGGCUCCAGUGAGUCAGCCCCCCUCCAGUCACAGGCCGCUUAAAGAGCUACGGUCUAGUGAGCCAUGCAAGCCUAGCUCAGUUCCUUCUGUUGGACCUCCUAUAAAUGAAGCCACAAAGAUGGCUUACAACUCUGACCUCAACAACUCCCCAUCGUCCUCUCGUUCUUCUCCUUCUCAACCCUCCAUCUCCUCCCCCUCCAAACCAGCGGGGUCAGCCUCACCCUCCAGUGGCUACUCAAGCCAGUGUGAGACUCCCACCCAGUCAGUCUCAGUUAUAGCCGGACCCUCUUCGAUGAGCUGCAGGAUGCGCCCCAAGCCAUCCAGUGCUGUCCCUGGCCAACGGGUCAGGAACAGUCGGACUCGGUUAUCCCUGCAGUUGCCUGAAAUGCAAGAAACAAAACCCAUCCCUAAUCCAGAACCUUCCCCUGUCCACCCAGCAAAAGCAAGUCGCCGCUACUCAGACACCUCUGCCACUGCAAGACCUAAACAAAGACUGAGCAGCAGUAUGCUGAUCAUGCCGGUGGUGACUCAGGAAGACCUAAACAAGGUGCGCUUGCGUUCAGUCAGUAGUUUUGACCUGGACAACACACCUGCAAAUGUUUCUGGUGUGAUAGAGGAGGAAAGCGAAAGGGAUGGAAGCUCUGCGACUGCUCAACAGAGUCCUAAAAUCAAACCCCCUGUAGCGCCCAAACCUCCUGUGUCCAAACGGCCAUCGACUGGUGUGGCAAAGUCCAGUUUUGGCACAUCAUCUGGUGCAGAUCUGCCGCCACCCUCUACCAGUUAUGAGCAGGAUAAUAUUUAUUCAACAGUUAACAAAGUCAAGCCAAAUUCAGUUCUUCCACCCACGUCUAAUUCUUUCACUGACCAUGGGCAUCACCAGGUACUUCAGCAGCAGCAGCAGUAUGACUAUCAUAUGUCUCAACAGCAUAUGAAAGAGACCAUUGGUACACAAUCCUUAUGCAACUCUGGGGUCCCAAAUGUUCCAUCCUUAAAUACUGCCAGCCAUAAAAAAACAAGUGAACCCCAAAAGAAGAGAAGAGCACCAGGUCCUCCAGUUCCAAAAAGACGUGAUACAACAAACUUACCUUGUGAUAACACUUAUGCGAUUGAGAAUUUGGAUCAGCAACUCCACUCUCCUCCUGAUUAUUCUAAUACUGGAAACUCUCAAAAAGAAUACCAUGUCACAGUGUAUGGACUCAUUCCCACUUUCCCACAUUCUGGUGAAAGAGAACAUUUGCCUGAGUACGAGUCAUGUCAUAGAGUGACAGAGGAGGACCAAGGGCCCGACGUUGGUGUUCUGCAGUUGGGGGGUGAAGAGGAUGAGGUAUUUCUUCACAAGUCCGCAUCUCACACAACAGAGGACUUGUUCACCAUAAUUCACAGGUCCAAGAGGAAACUCUUGGGUCGCAAAGAUUCCUUUGACAACAAGCAGGGGGACUUGGGCACUCAGACGAUCGGUGGUGUUUCCAAGGCUAGUUCCCAGAAUGAUAACUUCAUGGCUCUCCUGAGAAGAACAAGAAGUGCCAAGGCCAGCUCCAGGAGCCGAAUCUCAGCCACAGAGCUUCUGAGGAGCUCCAAGCCUUCAGCCCCUGGGGCACCAGAGCUGACCGGCUACAAAAACCACUACACAAUGCAAUCACAUGGUCCUUGAACUUCUAUCUUUGAGUCUGUUGUCAUUGAUGUUGUCUUAGCUCAAAAUGACAUUGCCACAGUUUUGCUUGCUUAAGCUUGUGAAAUAUCUGUUGUUUAAGUAUACAGUAAUUUCACAAUUCAGACUUUGUUUUACCUUCGGAAUUAUUCUCUUUUUUUGGUAACUAAAGAAUCAGAAAUGUAAACUCAGUAAAGAGUUAUUUUCUGCAAAUUGCAUAAAAAUAAUUUCUAUGUAAAUAUGCGUACAGACAGAGUUGGUUAUAUCUUAUAUCUAUGUCUAAAUGUCAGUUAUAUUGUAUACAUUAUUAUAUUGAACAGAUUUUGUUUUGGGCCCUUAUGUUCUGGUCUGCUUUGAGUGAAAUCCACAUUGUGCCAAACGGCAUAAUAAUGCUGUAUAUUAAUGACUGUUUCCUGAACAUGUUGCUGUAGAUUUGCACACAUUCAAAGUAUUAUUGAAUUUCCAUCUAAAUGUGACAAGUAUUGACAGAUGUCUUACUUUUAGGCACAGUGCAUGUAACACAACCAAUUAGGAAUUCCAGUAAAGACAAAAAAUAUAGAUUUUCACUGCCAAAAAAAUGCCUGGUCAUUGGAAUGUGAGAGACACCUGCGGAAGAGCUUGCAUGAACAAUGGGAGGGAAUUAAUAUAAUCUUCAGGUCACUCCAACUAAAUCUGCAGUGCCAUCACACGCCUGUUGCAGCUCGACUGAAUGGAUUACAUGCGUCACAACCUGUGAAAGCACUUUACUACGCUGUUUUUCUUUUCUUUCUUUUUUUUUAACCAAAUGAAUUAUUUUUUUCUUUUACAUUUAAGAGCUUAAUGGCUUAAUGUUGGUAUGAUUUAUUAUGUAUUUUUGUUUCAAUGGACACCAACGACUGUGUGAAAUAUGUGGAGCUUAGCUGCUUUAUGGAAGGACUGUGCGGUUCUUCUGUCAACCCAUAUGGCAUGGUAAGUGCAUUGGACCAACAUAAUAUAAAUAAAAAAAUACAUAAAUAAUAGUAAUGGAUUCUG
ensembl:lncRNA